GUGAGGAAUAUUGCGCAAUGGGGGCAACCCUGACGCAGCAACGCCGCGUGAGUGAGGAAGGUUUUCGGACCGUAAAGCUCUGUCGAGCGGGAAGAAAUGCAUGCUGGCUAAUAUCCAGCAUGCUUGACGGUACCGCUAGAGGAAGCACCGGCUAACUCCGUGCCAGCAGCCGCGGUAAUACGGGGGGUGCAAGCGUUGUUCGGAAUUAUUGGGCGUAAAGAGCGUGUAGGCGGUUGGACAAGUCAGAUGUGAAAGCCCUGGGCUUAACUCAGGAAGUGCAUUUGAAACUGUUCAGCUGGAGUAAGGGAGAGGAAAGUGGAAUUCCUGGUGUAGAGGUGAAAUUCGUAGAUAUCAGGAGGAACACCGGUGGCGAAGGCGACUUUCUGGCCCUAUACUGACGCUGAGACGCGAGAGCGUGGGUAGCAAACAGGAUUAGAAACCCCAGUAGUCC
rnacentral:rRNA from 1 species